rnacentral:rRNA from 1 species
CCUACGGGAGGCAGCAGUGAGGAAUAUUGGUCAAUGGACGAGAGUCUGAACCAGCCAAGUAGCGUGAAGGAUGACUGCCCUAUGGGUUGUAAACUUCUUUUAUAUGGGAAUAAAAUGUUCCACGUGUGGGAUUUUGUAUGUACCAUAUGAAUAAGGAUCGGCUAACUCCGUGCCAGCAGCCGCGGUAAUACGGAGGAUCCGAGCGUUAUCCGGAUUUUUUGGGUUUAAAGGGAGCGUAGGUGGAUUGUUAAGUCAGUUGUGAAAGUUUGCGGCUCAACCGUAAAAUUGCAGUUGAAACUGGCAGUCUUGAGUACAGUAGAGGUAGGCGGAAUUCGUGGUGUAGCGGUGAAAUGCUUAGAUAUCACGAAGAACUCCGAUUGCGAAGGCAGCUCACUGGACUGCAACUGACACUGAGGCUCGAAAGUGUGGGUAUCAAACAGGAUUAGAUACCCGAGUAGUC